rnacentral:rRNA from 1 species
CGAAGCCUGAUGCAGCCAUGCCGCGUGUGUGAAGAAGGCCUUCGGGUUGUAAAGCACUUUCAGUCGUGAGGAAGAGGUAAAGGUUAAUACUCUUUAUCUUUGACGUUAGCGACAGAAGAAGGACCGGCUAACUCCGUGCCAGCAGCCGCGGUAAUACGGAGGGUCCGAGCGUUAAUCGGAAUUACUGGGCGUAAAGCGUACGCAGGCGGCUUGUUAAGCCAGAUGUGAAAUCCCCGGGCUCAACCUGGGAAUGGCAUUUGGAACUGGCAAGCUAGAGUUUUGUAGAGGGUGGUAGAAUUUCAGGUGUAGCGGUGAAAUGCGUAGAGAUCUGAAGGAAUACCAGUGGCGAAGGCGGCCACCUGGACAAAAACUGACGCUCAUGUACGAAAGCGUGGGGAGCAAACAGGAUUAGAUACCCUGGUAGUCCACGCCGUAAACGAUGUCUACUAGUUGUCUGUGAGUUUAACUCGUGGGUAACGCAGCUAACGCAUUAAGUAGACCGCCUGGGGAGUACGGCCGCAAGGUUAAAACUCAAA